CCUACGGGUGUCAGCAGUGGGGAAUAUUGCACAAUGGGGGAAACCCUGAUGCAGCGACGCCGCGUGAAGGAAGAAGUAUUUCGGUAUGUAAACUUCUAUCAGCAGGGAAGAAAAUGCCGGUACCUGACUAAGAAGCCCCGGCUAACUACGUGCCAGCAGCCGCGGUAAUACGUAGGGGGCAAGCGUUAUCCGGAUUUACUGGGUGUAAAGGGAGCGUAGGCGGCGAUGCAAGUCAGAAGUGAAAGCCCGGGGCUCAACUCCGGGACUGCGUGUGAAACUGUGUUGCUAGAUUGCAGGAGAGGUAAGUGGAAUUCGUAGUGUAGCGGUGAAAUGCGUAGAUAUUAGGAGGAACACCAGUGGCGAAGGCGGCUUACUGGACUGUAAAUGACGCUGAGGCUCGAAAGCGUGGGGAGCAAACAGGAUUAGAUACCCCUGUAGUC
rnacentral:rRNA from 1 species